AAAACGUAGGAGGCAAGCGUUAUCCGGAUUUACUGGGCGUAAAGCGCGUGCAGGCGGCUUGUUAAGUCGUGCGUGAAAGCUCCCUGGCUCAACCGGGAGAGGUCGUGCGAUACUGGCAAGCUUGAGACAGGUAGAGGCAGGCAGAAUUCCGGGUGUAGUGGUGAAAUGCGUAGAUAUCCGGAGGAAUACCCGUGGCGAAGGCGGCCUGCUGGGCCUGAUCUGACGCUCAGACGCGAAAGCAUGGGGAGCGAACGGGAUUAGAAACCCCGGUAGUUCAUGCCGUAAACGAUGUCUCCUAGGCGUUGGGGCCUCGUGCCGCAGUGCCGAAGCAAACGCGAUAAGUAGACCGCCUGGGGRACUACGGCCGCAAGGCUAAAACUCAAAGGAAUUGACGGGGGCCCGCACAAGCAGCGGAGCGUGUGGUUUAAUUCGAGGCUACACGAAGAACCUUACCUAGGCUUGACAUGGUAGCGAAGUGAACCGAAAGGGGAUCGGCUUCGGGCGCUAUCACAGGUGCUGCAUGGCUGUCGUCAGCUCGUGUCGUGAGAUGUUCGGUUAAGUCCGGUAACGAGCGCAACCCUUAGUGUUAGUUACAAGUGUCUAACACGACUGCCCGGAUAAACUGGGAGGAAGGUGGGGAUGACGUCAAGUCAGCAUGGCCUUUAUGUCUAGGGCUACACACACGCUACAAUGGCCAGUACAGUCGGUUGCCAACCCGCGAGGGGGAGCCAAUCCACCAAAGCUGGUCUCAGUUCGGAUUGUAGGCUGCAACUCGCCUGCAUGAAGUUGGAGUUGCUAGUAAACGCUGGUCAGCUAUACAGCGUUGAAUACGUUCCCGG
rnacentral:rRNA from 1 species